CACAACAGAAGGUUCGGUUGGCAGGAGCCUGAAGACUGGACGAGAUGGUGUCACUUGAGCUCUAUGGAGAUUUAAUAAGAGACAUGAUUGCUGAAAACCUCUCACACGCGGACAUUUCCACGAAUUUAUCACAAUUAGGUGUGCAGCGAUGUUCUGAAAUGAGUGUCAGGAGAUUUUGUGCACAUCACAACAUUUCCAGGAGGGGACAUGUAUCCGACACACAAUUAGAAGUUGCUAUCAGCAGGGCAAUAAAUCAGACAGGGUCAACAUAUGAUGACCAGGUACCUGUCUGCGAUGGGAGUGGUUGCUGGUGAACGCCAGAUAGGGAGGAUUUUGAGAACAACGCAUUGUCCUUAUCACGAAAUGCGUAAACAUAUCAGCAGUUCUUGAAUAUGGGAUGUGGGACCAGGUCAGGGUGGACCAUGGCCGUGAGUUUUACUUGUCCCUCUACAUGCAGGAGAUGCUGUCUAA
ensembl:lncRNA